CGCACCUUCCCCCGCACGGCGCGGCCCCAGCGCCGCGGGCAGCCCCGGGCGGCGCAGGAAGCCGCGCCGGCCCUGCACCGCUCCCGCCCCGCCGCUCCGGCGGUGAUAAAGUGCAGAGAGACGGGCUCCAACACUGGCUUGGAGAGUUGCAGCAGCAGAGUUCCAGCAGCAAUCACCAGCAAGUGGCAGCCACCACCAGAAAGACGCCAGCUUUCCAAAGACACUGAAGCCAAGAAGCCAGUAGGAUACCUGGCAGUGAGAAAAUGGGCACAGAGAAACACUGGCUUCUCUUCCACCACUCAUUCCUAGUAAACAGUCCAAUAAAGAGUCCAAUCACUCUGAGAGGAAGGUAUUGGAGAGGAAGAUGAGGUAGCUCCAAGCUGAAGCUCCAGAGCCAAACCACUGCCUUGGUGUCACCCCUUGGUACCUGCUGCCAUAUACUGGCUUGCACAGCAGCUUGCUCACUUCGUAUGCAUGGCUUUUACCAUCUCCCUCUUCAGACUAAACAGCCACCAUGGCAUUUGGUGUUUACUACAGCUUCUGACAAACUGAAUCCUGGCAAAACUGAGCACAAUCCUCUGAAAAAGUAGAACUUUACCAAGUGAGAAAAUUUUCUGCCCACCUCUGUGGCAUCCUCCAGACUCUGCUGGAGGAAUAGGAAGAUCCACAGCAUCACAGCUUGUCACAGCAGUGUGAGUGCAGCCCUUCCCCAAGACAGUGUUCACCUUCCAGUGAAAGACAGCAGGACAGAGUCUUGAGCAAGACUCAGUCACCUGAACACACACCAAAGGGACUCCCAGGAAGGGAAAAAGCUUGGAGGAUGAUUCAUCAGUGAAUGAAAAUUAGGGUCUACUUGCCCAGCACAAAUAUGGAGUCAGCCAGAUGAACAGGUUAUUUGGAGGCAACAGCUGAUAACCACAGCUCUGCGUGCACAGAUACAAACGUGGCUCUGAGCAAUCUGCAGAAACGGAUGAGCCGCUCUUCCUGCUGUGUGCGGCGCGGCUGACCCUCGACCGGCUGUGAAACCAGUGCCUGCAGCAGGAUGUGGAGCUGGCCCAGAGGUCAGACAGAUGCCAGCAGGCACCCACCAUGGGCUGCAGCCCUUCCCCACACACACCCAGCUGCAUCGUGCUUGCCAGGGCCAAGGGCUGUUCAGACGUGGGCAAUCAGCAGGGCAAAAAGGUUGCUGAGCCCCAAAACACAGCAGGCAGCCUCGGGGAGUUGUUCUCAGUGUCACACAAGGGCUCUUUGCUGAAGAGAGGAAAGAGCCUCACAGGCUUAGGCAGUGUCCAGGAAGGACAAAUGAUUAACGGGGAGCCAAAGCUCAUCUAAAUCCAGCUGUAUUUCAAAUCUCCAAGCCACUGUGCUAAAAUACAAAACACGCUGCAGCAAAGUGAGCCUAAAAAAGGAGACAUUAUAUCUUUGCCUAAGACUGAUGGUUUUCUUAGUUACUUCUUUCUCCCAUUUUUGUGAGAAUUCAUGGAUUUUUAAACACCAUUUAAAUAAAAUUUCAAGCACUAGGAAACUGCAUCAUGGCACCUAACACAAUGCAAGAUUCUCUAGCCCAUUGCUACACAAGAUCCCUACAGCACUGUAGGAGAAAAACAGAGUGAGCAAUAAAACACUAUUGUGUGUGGCACUUAAAUGAAAAGGUGUGCUCUUCAGAGAGCAGUGCUUAGAGAAUAGACUUCUGUGACUAUGCUGGUACUCAGACCUCAUUAAAUAAAAGCACGAGCAGGUUAAUUAGUUAAUGUCUUGUAAGCACGUUGAAGAAAUAUGAUAUUGGGUCUAUCACUGUGAGCUGUCAUUUAUUUGAGGGGUAGUGGGGUAUGUUCUGUAUUUGACUGUGCCACUACCAUCCCCUUUGGCUUCAGUUGUGGGAUCUGAAUAAAGAUAGUAGAUCAUAUCAGUACAGGCACUGGCCUUUAAAAAUGCUGCUUUUAGCAUUAGCCAUCUCCUCAUGGCUUUAAAUUCUACCCCAAAGCAGAAAAGAUCUUUUUCUUAUACAAACAAGAGUUAUAUUACACCCACAGAAAGCAGCUCUCCCUUGCCUGCAGUUCACUCAAGCCACAGAGCAGUACCAUCUACUCAGAGGUAAGCAAGCUCAGGCAACUCUGAGACACAAAACAUGAGAAGCACUACAGAACAGAGGUAUGGACAACAGGGGAGUUAUCACACUGUGACAGAUGCAUGCCCAGACUACACUGGCUCCCAAGAGCUCUGCAGAAAAAAUCAGAGCUAGACACAUCUGUGCCAAUGUCAAAAGGUAAGACAGAUAAACAGCCUGAAAUGCAGCUCGUGCAGUCCUGUAAGUGUGCUUGAGAGGAUUGUGUUGAGGCAGGAAAAUACUGUCUAGAAAGCUAUCAAUAAAAAAACCCUCCUUGGAAAAUAUCACCUCUAGCCCCCCUUAGUAUUGGUACCCUCCUUUAAGUUGGCCUUCACGUGUCCCUUAGACUAAAAGCUGAGUGCAAAGUCCCCUAGUAUACCUAUAAAGCAAGACGUCUACAGUCCAGAACAAGUGAGGUAUCCCUAAAAGAAGAUGGGGUUUGGGUUUGCCCUCCAGAGAGAUGAUGUGAGGGGGGGAACAGACGCACACCACCUGCCAGAAAAACAUUGUAUCACCAGCAGUGGCCCCUGGCCACACACUUACACCUCUGAGCUGUGCUGACACCAGCAAUUCAGCCACGAAGGACACCAGCUAAGCCAUCCAUUUAACACCUGCACACAGGCAACAUUUGGAAAGCUCAGCUCCCCAAUGUUCAGACAACGCAUGGCAAGCAUCUUUCUGUGCAUGAAGCCAGUACAGACCUCAGUUCUCUGGAGAUAACACAAACAAUUAUAUAUACAUACAAUUAUAUAUGCAUUAUCUCAUUAUAAUUAGAGAACAUACCUUUAUACGCUGCAAUCUAUGUCAACUGUUUACUGCUUAGAGCUUAACUGUAUUUAUAAUUCAUAAUUAAUAUUAAAUAA